rnacentral:rRNA from 1 species
ACUGCUCAGUAACACGUGGUCAAUCUAGCCUAUGGACGGGGAUAACCUCGGGAAACUGAGGAUAAACCCCGAUAGAUCAUUAUGCCUGGAACGGUUUAUGGUCCAAACGAUUCGUCGCCAUAGGGUGGGACUGCGGCCUACCAGCUUGUUGGUGAGGUAAUGGCCCACCAAGGCUAUUACAGGUACAGGGCUCUGAGAGGAGAAGCCCGGAGAUGGGUACUGAGACACGGACCCAGGCCCUAUGGGGCGCAGCAGGCGAGAAACCUUUGCAAUGUGCGCAAGCACGACAAGGUUAAUCUCGAGUGUUUCCUGCUAAAGGAAUCUUUUGUUAGUUUGUAAAACCACUGAUGAACAAGGGGUGGGCAAGUUCUGGUGUCAGCCGCCGCGGUAAAACCAGCACCUCAAGUGGUCAGGAUGAUUAUUGGGCCUAAAGCAUCCGUAGCCUGUUCUGUAAGUUUCCGGUUAAAUCCAUUAGCUCAACUAAUGGGCUGCCGAAAAUACUGCAAAACUAGGGAGUGGGAGAGGUAGACGGUACUCGGUAGGAAGGGGUAAAAUCCUUUGAUCUAUUGAUGACCACCUGUGGCGAAGGCGGUCUACCAGAACACGUUCGACGGUGAGGGAUGAAAGCUGGGGGAGCAAACCGGAUUAGAUACCCGGGUAGUCCCAGCUGUAAACGAUGCAGACUCGGUGAUGCCCUGGCUUGUGGCCAGUGCAGUGCCGCAGGGAAGCCGUUAAGUUUGCCGCCUGGGAAGUACGUACGCAAGUAUGAAACUUAAAGGAAUUGGCGGGGGAGCAC